AUGAACGCUGGCGGCGUGCCUAAUACAUGCAGGUCGAGCGCACAGACGAGGAGCUUGCUCCUCUGACGUUAGCGGCGGACGGGUGAGUAACACGUGGAUAACCUACCUAUAAGACUGGGAUAACUUCGGGAAACCGGAGCUAAUACCGGAUAAUAUAUUGAACCGCAUGGUUCAAUAGUGAAAGACGGUUUUGCUGUCACUUAUAGAUGGAUCCGCGCCGCAUUAGCUAGUUGGUAAGGUAACGGCUUACCAAGGCAACGAUGCGUAGCCGACCUGAGAGGGUGAUCGGCCACACUGGAACUGAGACACGGUCCAGACUCCUACGGGGGGCAGCAGUAGUGAAUCUUCCGCAAUGGGCGAAAGCCUGACGGAGCAACGCCGCGUGAGUGAUGAAGGUCUUCGGAUCGUAAAACUCUGUUAUUAGGGAAGAACAAAUGUGUAAGUAACUAUGCACGUCUUGACGGUACCUAAUCAGAAAGCCACGGCUAACUACG
rnacentral:rRNA from 1 species